CCAACAUGUUCGCCCCCGAGUAGAAUUAAAACCCGUUUUGGACCUCAAAAAGAAGCAGCUGACAAGAGGAAAAGCGAAGAGCCAGUGAACUAGCAAGGAACUGGUCCCUCCCGUGUGUGUAUGAGAGCCGUGGGUCGUGUUGCCACGUGGAGAUCGCGAGAGUCCAGUGCCCCCUGUCGGUGACCCGCUCAUUUCCCCUUCCCCCUACUGUCUGUUGGGAGCCGUGAAUGAUUCACAAAGACUAAAUGACCCUCAUAUGAAGAUGGAUAGUGGUCAGAAAGGAUGGUGGAAUGGC